GACGAACGCUGGCGGCGUGCUUAACACAUGCAAGUCGAACGGAAAGGCCCUGCUUUUGUGGGGUGCUCGAGUGGCGAACGGGUGAGUAACACGUGAGUAACCUGCCCUUGACUUUGGGAUAACUUCAGGAAACUGGGGCUAAUACCGGAUAGGAGCUCCUGCUGCAUGGUGGGGGUUGGAAAGUUUCGGCGGUUGGGGAUGGACUCGCGGCUUAUCAGCUUGUUGGUGGGGUAGUGGCUUACCAAGGCUUUGACGGGUAGCCGGCCUGAGAGGGUGACCGGCCACAUUGGGACUGAGAGAGGGCCCAGACUCCUACGGGAGGCAGCAGUGGGGAAUAUUGCACAAUGGGCGGAAGCCUGAUGCAGCAACGCCGGGUGCGGGAUGACGGCCUUCGGGUUGUAAACCGCUUUCGCCUGUGACGAAGCGUGAGUGACGGUAAUGGGUAAAGAAGCACCGGCUAACUACGUG
rnacentral:rRNA from 1 species